UACGGAGGAUCCGAGCGUUAUCCGGAUUUAUUGGGUUUAAAGGGUGCGUAGGCGGCUUUUUAAGUCAGCGGUGAAAUUUUGCAGCUUAACUGUAACAGUGCCGUUGAUACUGGGGAGCUAGGAUUUGGUUGCUGUGGGUGGAAUGUGUGGUGUAGCGGUGAAAUGCUUAGAGAUCACACAGAAUAUCGAUUGCGAAGACAGCUCACAAAGCCAAGAUUGACGCUGAGGCACGAAAGUGUGGGGAUCAAACAGGAUUAGA
rnacentral:rRNA from 1 species